rnacentral:rRNA from 1 species
AAAUUGAAGAGUUUGAUCAUGGCUCAGAUUGAACGCUGGCGGCAGGCCUAACACAUGCAAGUCGAACGGUAGCACAGAGGAGCUUGCUCCUUGGGUGACGAGUGGCGGACGGGUGAGUAAUGUCUGGGAAACUGCCCGAUGGAGGGGGAUAACUACUGGAAACGGUAGCUAAUACCGCAUAACGUCGCAAGACCAAAGAGGGGGACCUUCGGGCCUCUUGCCAUCGGAUGUGCCCAGAUGGGAUUAGCUAGUAGGUGGGGUAACGGCUCACCUAGGCGACGAUCCCUAGCUGGUCUGAGAGGAUGACCAGCCACACUGGAACUGAGACACGGUCCAGACUCCUACGGGAGGCAGCAGUGGGGAAUAUUGCACAAUGGGCGCAAGCCUGAUGCAGCCAUGCCGCGUGUAUGAAGAAGGCCUUCGGGUUGUAAAGUACUUUCAGCGAGGAGGAAGGUGUUGUGGUUAAUAACCGCAGCAAUUGACGUUACUCGCAGAAGAAGCACCGGCUAACUCCGUGCCAGCAGCCGCGGUAAUACGGAGGGUGCAAGCGUUAAUCGGAAUUACUGGGCGUAAAGCGCACGCAGGCGGUCUGUCAAGUCGGAUGUGAAAUCCCCGGGCUCAACCUGGGAACUGCAUCCGAAACUGGCAGGCUAGAGUCUUGUAGAGGGGGGUAGAA